rnacentral:rRNA from 1 species
AAUGAACGCUGGCGGCAGGCCUAACACAUGCAAGUCGAACGGGCACUUCGGUGCUAGUGGCGGACGGGUGAGUAACGCGUGGGAACAUGCCCUUUGGUACGGAAUAGCCUCGGGAAACUGGGAGUAAUACCGUAUGUGCUCGAAAGAGGAAAGAUUUAUCGCCAAAGGAUUGGCCCGCGUUGGAUUAGGUAGUUGGUGGGGUAAUGGCCUACCAAGCCGACGAUCCAUAGCUGGUUUGAGAGGAUGAUCAGCCACACUGGGACUGAGACACGGCCCAGACUCCUACGGGAGCAGCAGUGGGAAUCUUAGACAAUGGGGGCAACCCUGAUCUAGCCAUGCCGCGUGAUCGAUGAAGGCCUUAGGGUUGUAAAGAUCUUUCAGUGGGAGGAUAAUGACGGUACCCAC